CCGGCGACCGGCGCACGGGUGAGUAACACGUAUGCGACCUGCCCCCCGCAGGGGGAUAACCGGGAGAAAUCCCGACUAAUACCGCGUAACGCCGCGGACCUGCAUGGGUCUGCGGCCAAAGGAAGCGAUUCCGGCGGGGGAUGGGCAUGCGGCGCAUUAGCUAGUCGGCGGGGUAACGGCUCACCGAGGCGACGAUGCGUAGGGGUUCUGAGAGGAAGGUCCCCCACACUGGUACUGAGACACGGACCAGACUCCUACGGGAGGCAGCAG
rnacentral:rRNA from 1 species